AUGGGAAGACAGCGCCCGGGUGAACAAGCUAAUCCUUCAGUUCACAGGUGGGGAAACCGAGGCCGGUGCUCAGACCCUGCGUGGUGGCCCCUAUGCCUUCCAGCUCAGGCCGCCAGCUCCCACUCGGACACCCCAGAAGACAGCUGCCCCCCACCUGCCGGCGAGCUCAGGACAACGAGGGAACGGAGCAGGAGUCGCGGACCGACGGGAAAACGGGCCAGCGCCGCCCCCGCGUGGCGGCUCCGAGUUCUGCACCCGGGGCUUCCCGCGAGCGAGACCGUCCUCCGUCCACACGCAGGAGGAGGGACCAGGGCGUCUGCAACCCUCCAGCGAAAGUUCCAGCGACGCCGUGAGUCCGUUCCUAACGGGCGUUCACGACGCCUUCCCCGGAAAACCCAAGAGUUCCCGUCAUCCUCUUCAGAAGCUGCCUUUUCGGAUCGCGAGCGAAAUGAAAUUGUUUCUCAACAGAUGAGAAAGUGGGUGAAACUCAACCAAAGGCUGGGGUGUCACCCGGGGCGUCUCCCACCUGCUGGGAACGGAGGCAGGGGGUGGGGAGGAGCGAGGGAGCUGGUGACAGACCCUCUGUCUGGGGGCCUGGAUGCUUCUAUAAGAUGGAGGCAUGGAUGAUGGUAUGGACGGUUGAAUAGGAGUUUGCUAAGAAAAGAGAAAGACGUGUUGAUAUGAUAUAACGAUGAAGAUGAUAACGGCAGACCCUUUGCAGCUUACAAAUUCCAUUCACGUUUUUGAUCUCGGGCCGGCCUUGCCGUGGCCUCUGGGGCCCAUUGGACAGAGAUUUUCACUGUUGUCUGGCUGAGAAGAAAACUGGGGCUCAGAGAGAAGGAACAGAUCUGAAGUACCCAGCAGUCCGUGUGGGUACCAGGUGAAUCGGCCCUGCUCUAUCUCUCCUCUGUGCUCUUGCACCCAGAGUUGGAAUGUCCGUCCCCCGUCUCUAAACGCUCCUGACAGACUCCUAUGCAUCCCUCAAAACCCAGCUCAGACUCUGGGCCCCUAGCCUUAGACCUGAGAGUCCAGGCCCCCAGCCCCCUCCUCCCUCAGACCUGAGAGUCCAGGCCCCCAGCCCCUCCUGCCUCACACCCAGAAGUCCAGGCCCCAGCUCCUCCUCCCUCAGACGCAGGGGUCCCAGCCCCAGCCCCUCCUCCCUCAGACCCAGGAGUCCAGGCCCCCAGCCCCUCCUCCCUCAGACCCAGGGGUCCAGCCCCAGCCCCUCCUCCCUCAGACCCAGGGGCCUGGCCCUGAAGCAGAGCCAGCGAGGCUGUGACGGGUGGGGCAGUGGGAUGGAGCACGGUGUGCUGAUCGGUCACAUUUAUUUGGUCUCAGAGGCCGGAGCCACGGUCCGGGGCGAAGGCGGGGCUCUGGGAUUGGGGGAUCCUGUGUCUUCUCAUUGCUGAGCCUGAGAGGAAGAGAGGCAGAGACACACAGAGACACGAGCGAGAAAGAGAGACCAAGACGAUAAAGUGGAGACCAAAGAGACAGACCCAGCCCGCCACCGCCGCCCUCUUCCCACUCACCUUGUUGAAGAAGUAGAUGGAGGCGAGGAUGGUGAAUACGGCCAUGGCCAGGGUUACAUUCUGGGGGGAGGGUUCAGAGGUCAGGGCCCACCCCCCCCCCCCACCACCGCUGGACCCCUCCUCACUUCCUGAAAGUUCAUGGCCAUGGGGACUGAGCCACACGCGUUCAUUCACGUGACCUCUCUCUCCCUUUCCUGGGUCUCUGAGCUAGAGAGGGGAGACAAGCCACCAGAACCUGAGAGGGGUUGUCUGGGAGACCAGAAUGGUGGCCAUGGUGACAAGAGAAGGGCAUUCUGGGUAGAGGGGACCUUGGGGCAGAGGCUUGGGGGAGAAAAGGAAUUGGAUGCAGACUGUCACAUGCAGUAUCUGAAUUUGGGAUUGGGACAUUUGAGAUGGGACAGCCCAGACCUCCAACACCAUUCCGAGCAGUUUGUCUCCCCUGAGGGUGCUUGGGAGCCAUGGUGGGGCUGUGAGCAGGGGAGGCAGCAGUCAGCUCUUAGUGCCAGAAAUAUCCCGGAGCAGGAGGAGGGUGAGGCUGGAAGAGAAGGUGAGGUGGCCCAGGCCGAAUUUCCGCCAGCAGCGUCUGCCAGAGCAAAGUUAAGAGACACGGCGCUGGCUAGACUGGGCAUCCCAGCGCCUGGUCACCAGCUGUGGGGGUGGGAGUGGCAGUUCUAAUGGUAGAAACCGUGGUAGUGGCAGCAGCUUCCAGCGGUCCCUGACUUUUACUCCGCCAGCCCUCCUGUUACUAUUGCAGAUACUUCUUUUUGUCCGUCACGCCUUUAGAAUUAACGUCCAGAUUACCAGAAACACAGGAGAGAGAAACAAGUACAGUCGACCCUCUCUACCCGCGGAUUCCAUCUUUGCGAAUUCGCCUGUUCGCUAAAAGUCAUUUGUAACCGCCCAAUGAAGACUCGCGGCGUUCUCGCGAUCAUUCGCGGACAUGCGCAGAGCGGCUAAACUUUGGAGUCGGUGGAUGCGCGCAUCCCCAGCUGAGGUCAGACAAGGUGGUGCUCUGCCCUCCUGUCCCAGCUCUCAGCAGAGAGACGCCCAGAGGGGGUGCCUGGAGUGGGGCGCUGCUGUGCGGGGAGCUCCCACCCUGGGGCCAGCGGGAGGCGUUUGAAUCCCAGCUCUGGUACCUGUGAGUGGGGCGGCCUCAGGCAAAGUUUCCAGUUUGUAAAAUAAAGAAAAUUGAAUUUCCGUGGAUGAGUAGUUC
rnacentral:lncRNA from 1 species